UAGUCUGAACAUUAUCCUGAGGUGUUAACAGCUGAUACAGUGAGCCCAGUCUGAACAUUAUCCUGAGGUGUUAACAGCUGAUACAGUGAGCCCAGUCUGAACAUUAUCCUGCUUUAAAUAAAUAAACUUGAAAUAAACAUUAGUGAGGACAAACCUAACUGGACUGUUUGUCCCUCACAGUUUUACUCAUUUUGUAUGGAGCUAGGUGUUGGUGUUUUCACAUCAAACUUGGACAAGGUCAUACUAUUUGUUUAUUCAUUGUAUUAUGUAGAGUAGAACCACAGCGCUAACCGUAACUGUGGUAUGGACAUUUCCUGAAACCACUACAUGUCGUAUUAUCCCAAUCCCUACUGUGGAAAGUCUCCAAUUAGCAAUGUGUAGUCUCUAUUUACCAUGUUACAGCAACCUCUCACACAUCUGCCCUCAUGCAGGUUUCUUUUCAUGGCAACUCAAUUUCAGGAUGGAGAAUUAUUUUUUUCACAUCAAGACACUCAGGGGCUGUUGAGUCCCACUGCAUUCACUGCUCACUGUAGUAAAUGAUUGAAAACAGCAGGCUCCCACCAGCCUCAUGAGAUGGGGGGGAACAAGCAGUACCUGAAACUCACAACCAAAAGUGUAGGAGCAUCCUGGUGUCUUUGGACUGGUCACUAAGGAGCGUCCUGGUGUCUUUAGACUGGUCACUAAGGAGCAUCCUGGUGUCUUUAGACUGGUCACUAAGGAGCAUCCUGGUGUCUUUAGACUGGUCACUAAGGAGCAUCCUGGUGUCUUUAGACUGGUCACUAAGGAGCAUCCUGGUGUCUUUAGACUGGUCACUAAGGAGCAUCCUGGUGUCUUUAGACUGGUCACUAAGGAGCAUCCUGGUGUCUUUAGACUGGUCACUAAGGAGCAUCCUGGUGUCUUUAGACUGGUCACUAAGGAGCAUCCUGGUGUCUUUAGACUGGUCACUAAGGAGCAUCCUGGUGUCUUUAGACUGGUCACUAAGGAGCAUCCUGGUGUCUUUAGACUGGUCACUAAGGAGCAUCCUGGUGUCUUUAGACUGGUCACUAAGGAGCGUCCUGGUGUCUUUAGACUGGUCACUAAAGGAGCAUCCUGGUGUCUUUAGACUGGUCACUAAGGAGCAUCCUGGUGUCUUUAGACUGGUCAUUAAGGAGCAUCCUGGUGUCUUUAGACUGGUCACUAAGGAGCAUCCUGGUGUCUUUAGACUGGUCACUAAGGAGCAUCCUGGUGUCUUUAGACUGGUCACCAAUGAGCGUCCUGGUGUCUUUAGACUGGUCACUAAGGAGCAUCCCAGUUUUUUUUGCCCAGUGGCUCCUCAAACAUCACUGCUUUCAAUAAGACUGUGAAAAACAUUGUGUCUCACAUUUGGUUGUUCAUGUUAGGGCAGUAAAUGUAAGACUACGAGGCACCCAAGGAUAUAUUUUUAUUUUGUCCUUGCAUUUCAUAUCGAGUUGGUACGAUCAGUACAGCCAAACUAUGACUAACGAUGCAGAACUAGUUCAGGAUUAUUCUCAAAUGACACAAUCAAACAUUUCUACCCAACAUAGUGGAUUGAACACUGCUGUAACAAUACCAGGACUAAAUAAAUGGAUAGCCUAUUUCAUUGCAUGAUUUUAAAAAAUAAAAAAUAAGCUGUUUGUUGAACCCUUGAGUGGGCGGGUGUCCAAUUCUGUAAUUAUUCAAAGCUCAGAGGGUGUUCAAGCAUUUUCUUGGAUGUCAUUCAUUUCACAAUAAACCAUAGAGACUAUACUCUGACCCUGACAGCAGUUCCUAAGCUUUCACCCAGAACACAUUAACAGAAUCCUAAUUGCUCCCUUUGUUAACCACCCACCUAAGAUACCCCUCACUAGAAACACAAUGAAAAUGCACAUUUAUUUCAACUUUUUGUUCGGUAACCCCAUCUCCAGAUAUCCUCUGAUUUCCAGAAUGAAAACGUUUUAGUAUGAGAUGUUUUAAAAUUGACUGACAUAUUUAUUCUCUUUUCCUUGAAGUAAAUAUACAGUCUGUGUUGAAAUGUGUGAUUUGUUCUCUAAAAUACCGAUCUGUCUCUCAACAGUCAAAGACCUACAUGUGCAGCAGCCAGAGUAAAGUACUGUGUUUGACCAUAGACUUUGGAUCUGGCUUCACUUGUUCUGAGAGCUCCUCGAAGGUGAGUCAUCGUUCAUUCACUAUUCUAACUGGAUGUUCAACAGGCUAUAGUAGGGGGGGGGG
rnacentral:lncRNA from 13 species